rnacentral:rRNA from 1 species
CCUACGGGUGGCAGCAGUGAGGAAUAUUGGUCAAUGGACGAGAGUCUGAACCAGCCAAGCAGCGUGAAGGAUGACUGCCCUCUGGGUUGUAAAUUUCUUCUAUAUGGGAAUAAAACGUUCCAAGUGUGGGAUUUUGUAUGUACGAUAUGAAUAAGGACCGCCUAACUCCGUGCCAUCAGCCGCGGUAAUACGGAGGAUCCGAGCGUUUUCCGGAUUUAUUGGGUUUAAAGGGAGCGUAGAUGGAUUGUUAAGUCAGUUGUGAAAGUUUGCGGCUCAACCGUAAAAUUGCAGUUGAAACUGUGAGUCUUGAGUACAGUAGAGGUGGGCGGAAUUCGUGGUGUAGCGGUGAAAUGCUUAGAUAUCACGAAGAACUCCGAUUGCGAAGGCAGUUCACUGGACUGCAACUGACACUGAGGCUCGAAAGUGUGGGUAUCAAACAGGAUGAGAUACCCUUGUAGUC